rnacentral:tRNA from 1 species
GUGGUUGUGGCUCAGUGGUAGAGUGCUUGCCUAGCACGUGCAAGGUCCUGGGUUCAAUCCUCAGCACCAUA